rnacentral:rRNA from 1 species
CUGGCUCAGGACGAACGCUGGCGGCGUGCUUAACACAUGCAAGUCGAACGGAAAGGCCCUUCGGGGUACUCGAGUGGCGAACGGGUGAGUAACACGUGGGUGAUCUGCCCUGCACUUUGGGAUAAGCCUGGGAAACUGGGUCUAAUACCGGAUAGGACUACGCGAUGCAUGUCGUGUGGUGGAAAGCUUUUGCGGUGUGGGAUGGGCCCGCGGCCUAUCAGCUUGUUGGUGAGGUUAUGGCUUACCAAGGCGACGACGGGUAGCCGGCCUGAGAGGGUGACCGGCCACACUGGGACUGAGAUACGGCCCAGACUCCUACGGGAGGCAGCAGUGGGGAAUAUUGCACAAUGGGCGCAAGCCUGAUGCAGCGACGCCGCGUGAGGGAUGACGGCCUUCGGGUUGUAAACCUCUUUCAGCAGGGACGAAGCGCAAGUGACGGUACCUGUAGAAGAAGGACCGGCCAACUACGUGCCAGCAGCCGCGGUAAUACGUAGGGUCCGAGCGUUGUCCGGAAUUACUGGGCGUAAAGAGCUCGUAGGUGGUUUGUCGCGUUGUUCGUGAAAACUCACAGCUCAACUGUGGGCGUGCGGGCGAUACGGGCAGACUUGAGUACUGCAGGGGAGACUGGAAUUCCUGGUGUAGCGGUGGAAUGCGCAGAUAUCAGGAGGAACACCGGUGGCGAAGGCGGGUCUCUGGGCAGUAACUGACGCUGAGGAGCGAAAGCGUGGGGAGCGAACAGGAUUAGAUACCCUGGUAGUCCACGCCGUAAACGGUGGGUACUAGGUGUGGGUUUCCUUCCUUGGGAUCCGUGCCGUAGCUAACGCAUUAAGUACCCCGCCUGGGGAGUACGGCCGCAAGGCUAAAACUCAAAGAAAUUGACGGGGGCCCGCACAAGCGGCGGAGCAUGUGGAUUAAUUCGAUGCAACGCGAAGAACCUUACCUGGGUUUGACAUGCACAGGACGCUGGUAGAGAUAUCAGUUCCCUUGUGGCCUGUGUGCAGGUGGUGCAUGGCUGUCGUCAGCUCGUGUCGUGAGAUGUUGGGUUAAGUCCCGCAACGAGCGCAACCCUUAUCUUAUGUUGCCAGCGCGUAAUGGCGGGGACUCGUGAGAGACUGCCGGGGUCAACUCGGAGGAAGGUGGGGAUGACGUCAAGUCAUCAUGCCCCUUAUGUCCAGGGCUUCACACAUGCUACAAUGGCCGGUACAAAGGGCUGCGAUGCCGUGAGGUGGAGCGAAUCCUUUCAAAGCCGGUCUCAGUUCGGAUCGGGGUCUGCAACUCGACCCCGUGAAGUCGGAGUCGCUAGUAAUCGCAGAUCAGCAACGCUGCGGUGAAUACGUUCCCGGGCCUUGUACACACCGCCCGUCACGUCAUGAAAGUCGGUAACACCCGAAGCCGGUGG